GCAAGUCGAACGGAGUACUUCGGUACUUAGUGGCGGACGGGUGAGUAACGCGUGAGAAUCUGCCUUUAGGUGGGGGACAACAGUUGGAAACGACUGCUAAUACCGCAUAUGUCGAGAGACGAAAGAUUUAUCGCCUGAAGAUGAGCUCGCGUCCGAUUAGCUAGUUGGUGAGGUAAGAGCUUACCAAGGCAACGAUCGGUAGCUGGUUUGAGAGGACAACC
rnacentral:rRNA from 1 species